GAGCCUUGCCUAAGCACUCAGGAACAGGAUCAUGUGAAACAAUACCUUCCCCAGGUCAUGGCUACGUCAGGCAUCAGCACUUUGCUUAUUUCCUGCCAAAGCCCAGAAGAUGGAUAUAUCCAAUGAAGCCUGGCUUGGUUUCUUUUGCACUAACUUGGCUUUACAGAAGGGCCCCAACAAAGGAGGCUCACUCUGAUUGCAGAGGUUGGGGAAGAGAUACUAGAUGGAAGCCCUUCAGGAGGCCCUUGCCAUGAUCCAGGAUCCAAGUAAAUUCUAGUGGGCAAGAGGAAGAGAAGAGAAACUACAACAUCAUUAUCUUACUGCUGGAGGCAGCAGAUUACGGAGCCCUGCCUGUGUUGUGUCAAAUGCACUAUGUGACAACCAAGACCCUACACAACCGGGGGGCACUUCAGGAUUCCUCCAGGCGGCACUUGCUGGCCUAGACUCACUUCUUCAGGAGGGAGGUUCGCCCUGGAAAGCUGAUCUGCAUUUCUGCUGGGAUCGAUGCCGUGGAGACUGAAUACAUUGAUCAAGAGAGCUGACACUGAAAGAAGAGAAGGGAAUUGUUCCAUGUGAAGCAGCUGAUGAAUGGCAGGGUUGGGACAAGAACUUACCCAACUCUGACUCCCAAGUUCUCUGAUUGCAAUUUGCCACCUGUCCCCAGCAGGAAGACCAACCACCACGUGUUCCCACCCAGGGCCUCUGCACAGGCUGCUCCCUGUGUCUGCAAUGGUCUCCCCCCAGAUACUGGCUUCACUCUUUCCCCCACUUUAUUGAGGUCUAUGCUCUGAUGUCCUCUCCUCACUGACCACCGUGUUGACAACAGCAGCCACAGCUUCUCCCCUUUCUGCUAUUUUGCCUUCUAUCACAGCACUUACCACCACCUGGCAUUAUAUUUAUUUGCCACAUGGGCCACCAAAAGCAUCCGCCAAAAGUAAAUUGCAGAUAUUCAUGUCAGAAAAGAAAGGCCUUACUCCAUGCUUCAAGGCUGUAGUUAUAAAGAACUUAGAAAUGGGUAAUCAUUAAGAAAAAGUCGGGAAUCUCACAUCUGAUUAAAUAAAUACAAAUAAAAUGAUAAGAUGCCACAACUUA